AUUGUGAAGAGUCAUGAGAGGUGUAGCAUAGGAGGGAGACUUUGAUCGACAAUAAAAUACCACCACUUUCAUCGAUUCUUUACUUGAUCGGUGAGAAGAGAAUCGCUUUACGGUUCAUUUUUCUUUGUAUUAUGCAAAGUCACCUGGUGAUAUU
rnacentral:ncRNA from 1 species